GGCCAUAGCUCACUGGUAGAGCAUUUGCUUUGCAUGCAGAAGGUCCCGGGUUCAAUCCCUCUUGGGGCUG